CGGUCAUCGAGAGAGAACUGAGUUCCUGAUAUACACUGUAUACACGAGGAGACGCAAAAAUUGUACGGAAUGACUAGAGCCGUGUUUGUGUGUGCUAUCCUCAGCAGCGCCCUGUUACUCACUGUUCAAGCGACCUACACGGACCAGGUCACCAACGACUUCGUCCCCUGCAUGGUCGACUGCUACGACAACGUCAUUUCCUGCAAUGCUUGCUCGUCCUACGGUCUGGACCCGUGCCGUGCCAGGUGCAGGAGUAGCUUUGCCGCUUGUACACUCCGCUGUCGACGUUACAUGGCAGACUUCGAGGACCCACACGCAUAGGACGGUCAAGAGCUCAUGCGUGAGGUAGCAUCCGGAUGAUGAAAAUGAAACGAUCGGGACGAAAUGGCACUUUUAAUGACAAAAAGAACUUGAAUUAUUUUCGUUUUGCUCAAAUCUGUGUGAUAAGACAUUCACAUGUAUGUGUUUUCUAAAUACUGAUUUAACGCAAGUUCCCUUACGAUUUGAGGUUUAGACGAACGAAGUUUAUGUUUCAAUCUGAAUGCCUGUCUAUAAAACUUGAUUAUUAAAGGAUUUUCUGAUAAUUUAAACUGCUCUUAAUGGCCUAGAA